CAGUAGUCACGAGUUUGAUCAUGGCUCAGAUUGAACGCUGGCGGAAUGCUUUACACAUGCAAGUCGAACGGUAGAGGGGGCAACCCUUGAGAGUGGCGAACGGGUGAGUAAUAUAUCGGAACGUGCCCAGUCGUGGGGGAUAACGUAGCGAAAGUUACGCUAAUACCGCAUACGAUCUACGGAUGAAAGCGGGGGAUCGCAAGACCUCGCGCGAUUGGAGCGGCCGAUAUCAGAUUAGGUAGUUGGUGAGGUAAAGGGCUCACCAAGCCGACGAUCUGUAGCUGGUCUGAGAGGACGACCAGCCACACUGGGACUGAGACACGGCCCAGACUCCUACGGGAGGCAGCAGUGAGGAAUAUUGGACAAUGGGCGAAAGCCUGAUCCAGCAAUGCCGCGUGAGUGAUGAAGGCCUUCGGGUUGUAAAGCUCUUUUACUCGGGACGAUAAUGACGGUACCGAGAGAAUAAGCCCCGGCUAACUCCGUG
rnacentral:rRNA from 1 species